CUUGCUCCCUGAUGUUAGCGGCGGACGGGUGAGUAACACGUGGGUAACCUGCCUGUAAGACUGGGAUAACUCCGGGAAACCGGGGCUAAUACCGGAUGCUUGUUUGAACCGCAUGGUUCAAACAUAAAAGGUGGCUUCGGCUACCACUUACAGAUGGACCCGCGGCGCAUUAGCUAGUUGGUGAGGUAAUGGCUCACCAAGGCAACGAUGCGUAGCCGACCUGAGAGGGUGAUCGGCCACACUGGGACUGAGACACGGCCCAGACUCCUACGGGAGGCAGCAGUAGGGAAUCUUCCGCAAUGGACGAAAGUCUGACGGAGCAACGCCGCGUGAGUGAUGAAGGUUUUCGGAUCGUAAAGCUCUGUUGUUAGGGAAGAACAAGUACCGUUCGAAUAGGGCGGUACCUUGACGGUACCUAACCAGAAAGCCACGGCUAACUACGUGCCAGCAGCCGCGGUAAUACGUAGGUGGCAAGCGUUGUCCGGAAUUAUUGGGCGUAAAGGGCUCGCAGGCGGUUUCUUAAGUCUGAUGUGAAAGCCCCCGGCUCAACCGGGGAGGGUCAUUGGAAACUGGGGAACUUGAGUGCAGAAGAGGAGAGUGGAAUUCCACGUGUAGCGGUGAAAUGCGUAGAGAUGUGGAGGAACACCAGUGGCGAAGGCGACUCUCUGGUCUGUAACUGACGCUGAGGAGCGAAAGCGUGGGGAGCGAACAGGAUUAGAUACCCUGGUAGUCCACGCCGUAAACGAUGAGUGCUAAGUGUUAGGGGUUUCCGCCCCUUAGUGCUGCAGCUAACGCAUUAAGCACUCCGCCUGGGGAGUACGGUCGCAAGACUGAAACUCAAAGGAAUUUGACCGGGGGCCCGCACAAGCGGUGGAGCAUGUGGUUUAAUUUCGAAAGCCAACGCCGAAGAACCUUACUCAGGUUCUUGACAUCCCUCUGACAAUCCUAGAGAUAGGACCGUUCCUCCUUUCCGGGGCAGAGUGACAGGUG
rnacentral:rRNA from 1 species